AGACCCGAAACCCGGUGAUCUAGCCAUGGGCAGGUUGAAGGUUGGGUAACACUAACUGGAGGACCGAACCGACUAAUGUUGAAAAAUUAGCGGAUGACCUGUGGCUGGGGGUGAAAGGCCAAUCAAACCGGGAGAUAGCUGGUUCUCCCCGAAAGCUAUUUAGGUAGCGCCUCGUGAAUUCAUCUCCGGGGGUAGAGCACUGUUUCGGCUAGGGGGCCAUCCCGGCUUACCAACCCGAUGCAAACUGCGAAUACCGGAGAAUGUUAUCACGGGAGACACACGGCGGGUGCUAACGUCCGUCGUGAAGAGGGAAACAACCCAGACCGCCAGCUAAGGUCCCAAAGUCAUGGUUAAGUGGGAAACGAUGUGGGAAGGCCCAGACAGCCAGGAUGUUGGCUUAGAAGCAGCCAUCAUUUAAAGAAAGCGUAAUAGCUCACUGGUCGAGUCGGCCUGCGCGGAAGAUGUAACGGGGCUAAACCAUGCACCGAAGCUGCGGCAGCGAACGUAUCACCCAAGACAACUUUACGGAGUUGACGAUUGACGGAGCGAAGCGACGUCAAAGCGUUCAUUAAAGUCGAGUUGGCUUAGGGAUACGUUCGUUGGGUAGGGGAGCGUUCUGUAAGCCUGUGAAGGUGUGUCGUGAGGCAUGCUGGAGGUAUCAGAAGUGCGAAUGCUGACAUAAGUAACGAUAAAGCGGGUGAAAAGCCCGCUCGCCGGAAGACCAAGGGUUCCUGUCCAACGUUAAUCGGGGCAGGGUGAGUCGACCCCUAAGGCGAGGCCGAAAGGCGUAGUCGAUGGGAAACGGGUUAAUAUUCCCGUACUUGGUGUUACUGCGAAGGGGGGACGGAGAAGGCUAUGUUGGCCGGGCGACGGUUGUCCCGGUUUAAGCGUGUAGGUGUGUGUUCCAGGUAAAUCCGGUUCACUUUAACACUGAGGCGUGACGACGAGGCACUACGGUGCUGAAGCAACAAAUGCCCUGCUUCCAGGAAAAGCCUCUAAGCAUCAGGUAACACGAAAUCGUACCCCAAACCGACACAGGUGGUCAGGUAGAGAAUACCAAGGCGCUUGAGAGAACUCGGGUGAAGGAACUAGGCAAAAUGGUGCCGUAACUUCGGGAGAAGGCACGCUGACACGUAGGUGAAGUGAUUUACUCAUGGAGCUGAAGUCAGUCGAAGAUACCAGCUGGCUGCAACUGUUUAUUAAAAACACAGCACUGUGCAAACACGAAAGUGGACGUAUACGGUGUGACGCCUGCCCGGUGCCGGAAGGUUAAUUGAUGGGGUCAGCGUAAGCGAAGCUCCUGAUCGAAGCCCCGGUAAACGGCGGCCGUAACUAUAACGGUCCUAAGGUAGCGAAAUUCCUUGUCGGGUAAGUUCCGACCUGCACGAAUGGCGUAAUGAUGGCCAGGCUGUCUCCACCCGAGACUCAGUGAAAUUGAACUCGCUGUGAAGAUGCAGUGUACCCGCGGCAAGACGGAAAGACCCCGUGAACCUUUACUAUAGCUUGACACUGAACAUUGAGCCUUGAUGUGUAGGAUAGGUGGGAGGCUUUGAAGUGUGGACGCCAGUCUGCAUGGAGCCGACCUUGAAAUACCACCCUUUAAUGUUUGAUGUUCUAACGUGGACCCGUAAUCCGGGUUGCGGACAGUGUCUGGUGGGUAGUUUGACUGGGGCGGUCUCCUCCUAAAGAGUAACGGAGGAGCACGAAGGUUGGCUAAUCCUGGUCGGACAUCAGGAGGUUAGUGCAAUGGCAUAAGCCAGCUUGACUGCGAGCGUGACGGCGCGAGCAGGUGCGAAAGCAGGUCAUAGUGAUCCGGUGGUUCUGAAUGGAAGGGCCAUCGCUCAACGGAUAAAAGGUACUCCGGGGAUAACAGGCUGAUACCGCCCAAGAGUUCAUAUCGACGGCGGUGUUUGGCACCUCGAUGUCGGCUCAUCACAUCCUGGGGCUGAAGUAGGUCCCAAGGGUAUGGCUGUUCGCCAUUUAAAGUGGUACGCGAGCUGGGUUUAGAACGUCGUGAGACAGUUCGGUCCCUAUCUGCCGUGGGCGCUGGAGAACUGAGGGGGGCUGCUCCUAGUACGAGAGGACCGGAGUGGACGCAUCACUGGUGUUCGGGUUGUCAUGCCAAUGGCACUGCCCGGUAGCUAAAUGCGGAAGAGAUAAGUGCUGAAAGCAUCUAAGCACGAAACUUGCCCCGAGAUGAGUUCUCCCUGAGACUUAGAGUCUCCUGAAG
rnacentral:rRNA from 1 species